AGAGGUUUGAUCCUGGCUCAGAACGAACGCUGGCGGCAGGCUUAACACAUGCAAGUCGAACGCUCGUAGCAAUACGGGAGUGGCAGACGGGUGAGUAACGCGUGGGAACAUACCCUCCGGUUCGGAAUAGCUCAGGGAAACUUGGAUUAAUACCGGAUACGGCCGAGAGGCGAAAGAUUUAUCGCUGAAGGAUCGGCCCG
rnacentral:rRNA from 1 species